AUCAACAAUCAACAUCAGUAGGAGUGAUAGCACUGUUCACAAAAGAUGAAGUCGGAGGAAGGUCCACCAUGAAGUAGAAGUGCGAUCUACUGGAGGGAAAGGAAGAUGAAAACCAAGACUUUAGAGGACAUGGACAUUUGAUCGGUCUCGAAUACCCUCACAGCCAUCAGCUAUGAGCGCAGCACGAUUUCCAUCCCAAGCUCAUCUGCAGGUUCACUAUCGAGCAUCUAUUUCUACACAUUCCUUGAGCUGGAUUAGAUUUGAAAUUUCAUUCCGUAGUGUGUCGGAUGCAGAGAUAUUGCAGGGAAAGUUUUGAUUCGAUCUAUUGUCUGGGACGGGAUUUUCGGGUGUUAUUGGAGCUUUUAAGUCCAUGCGUGUACCCUUUUGAUUUCUUGUAGGUUUGGGUGAUUGUUUGAAAUUUUGUUUAUCCUGAGUCGAUGCAUUGCAUUGCUUGAUACCGCGGGAGGUUUCCCUGUCUCGUCUAGUGCUGAUAUAUGGCUUGAGCGGAGCAUCCAGGAAGCAAGUUCUGCAGUAUCGUCCUCUAUCCACAGGAAUUUCCCUAGACCAUCGUACAGGUAACGGAUAUUGUCGACGGCAGCAAGAAAUUGGAGUUGCUGCUGGGCUGCUUUCACAAGAUCCACACUUAAGCGUAUUUCUUGAGCUUUGGACCACUCCACCUCAUAAGCUUCUUCUUUCCCCAUUUCACAUUGCCAAGUUAUGGAUCUUACUCCUAUAGCUUCUGUGCUUUUUGGCUUUCAAAGUAUAAAGAUGGCGUGACAUAUAGCUUCUAUACUCACUAUCUAGAUGGCUUUCAUGCGUAUUGUAGUCCAGUAGUAAUCAUGUAUUCUUUGCUUUUUGAGGGUUUGAUUAAAGAGUAAUAAUAGUUGUUUAAUAUUAA